GACUCUCUAAAUCGACGCCACUUCGACCUGGGCGGGACUUACCGGGACUUUACGUCCUACGUCACUCGCUAUGGGUCACUCGCUGGGAGUGCAUGUGUGCGCGUAGCCGUUUGUCUCCGGGAUCUGUGCACGAACGGUUGUGUCGAACGCGAUGGGGGAUCCACCCUGGGUACCGUCGUAUUUUAAAAUAAUAAAUACAAGCAAUGGAUACAUUUCUGGAUUUGUCCAGACUCAAAAAGAAUUGGAGAGUCUGCUGGAGGUCCACUCAAGGGCCACACUGACAUUGUUUGUCAAAUGGUCUGAACACAUAAAAGAUGGCACCAAAGAGAGGCAUCUAUGGCAGGUGGAGGAUUUCAAUGAAGACACCCCUCUAUGUGUAAAGAAAAGAAUGGUCCUUGCUUGUCAGCAUGGCAAAGCUCGACAGAAAAAAGAAAAGGAGAAACGUUCAGCAGAGCAUGUAUACACAAAAAAACGUUUUCAUGUCCAAAAUGGGAAGAAGUUGGACUGCCCAGCUAAACUUUUCAUUCGGCAUGUGCUGAGAUAUGACUCAUUCAGUGUGAGAGGGGAUGCCACAAAAUCCCAUAAAGAAGACACUAUGAGAAAUCUUAAGAUAGCACUUCAAAACUCAGAAAACCCACCAACCUCUACAUUCAUUCAUCUAAAAAUUCCUCUAUUGGAAGUUCACAAUCAUACAAUUGGAGCAGGAUCCUGUUUUUCAAGACCGAUCCAUCCAAAACUAAAAAAUCAAAUUCAGGUGAUGGUCGGACAAGGGAUAACUAAUAUAGCUUUCGUGAAGAGAGCCUUGAAGCAGUAUGUGCUAAAUGACUUGUGAGGAGAGAGGAUCCUGGAUGGAGGAGGGGAGAGGAUGCUGGAUGGAGGAGGAGAGAGGAUCCUGGAUGGAGGAGGAGGAGAGAGGAUGCUAGAUGGAGGAGGAGGAGAGAGGAUGCUAGAUGGAGGAGGGGAGAGGAUGCUGGAUGGAGGAGGAGGAGAGAGGAUCCUGGAUGGAGGAGGGGAGAGGAUGCUGGAUGGAGGAGGAGGGGAGAGGAUGCUGGAUGGAGGAGGAGGGGAGAGGAUGCUGGAUGGAGGAGGGGAGAGGAUGCUGGAUGGAGGAGGAGGAGAGAGGAUGCUAGAUGGAGGAGGAGGAGAGAGGAUGCUAGAUGGAGGAGGGGAGAGGAUGCUG